UGAAUAUUGAAUUUUCAUCCAUGUGAUGAUGCUCUUUUAGACUCUUAGGACCUGGCACUAUUUGGUCAACCAGUUACAUGUGUAAUUUAUGUGAAUUUGAUAGGAAAAUGUUCGUCAAAGUAAUCAAUCAUAUGCAUUGUUUUCUUGGAAGUCCCAGACUGUGAAAUGUUAUUCCUGCAAGGAUUUUUAGAUUAUUUCGUUGCAUUUAUUGUUGAUGUGACGGAAACUAUGAUGCCUCCCAAACCAUAUCUGUCUUUUCUUUAUCAAAAUAUUGUAAAACAUCACUAAUCAAACUCACACAGCUAUAGUCAGAAUUUGAGAUUAUUAGUACUUCGUUUUAUGCACUCAAUAUACAUACAACUUGGUCAUUAUCUAUAAUAAGAGUAUAGUUGCUAUAGUUAUAAAGGUGGAGAUGAAGACCCUUACCAUUUUUCUCACUAAGCAUAUUUAAUCCCUAUUUUAGGAGUUCAAGGGAAAGGAGGAAUUCUGAACUUGCUUGAGCAUCAAAAAUUUCUUGUCAUUCCUUUUUUCAUAUAACCAAAUUGUACCUUAGCUGUCAAUAUGGAAAUUAUAAAGUUACAAUAAUAAAGGGAGGAACGGGUAUGGGUUUUUUAGUUUAACUUUUCACAAAUAUACGCUGCCUGCAUAUGGUUGCUAACAAUUUUGCCAGUUUCAGUCAAGGGUGCAUUUCCAUUUUGGCACUUCUAUUAGUUUUUUAUUGUUCUUUAUAUUGAUGAUGGCCAUGUUUGUUUUGGAGGGUAUUAUAGGUGGUUGUUGUCUUAAGUUAUUGUUUCACAACUAUGUAGUUACUAGUAUUAUAUUUUGUGACAAGUUUUUUGUUGACAAUGUAUUAUUUACAUUUUAUGCUUUUAGUCAGUAUAUCUUGCAAAGAAUCCAACUCAUAUUAGCUUUGAAAGGGUUGGUGUUCAAUAUGUUGCAGGGCAGAGGUGGUGGGAACUAAUAAUAUGUAAAUGUUGGAUACCAAGGUGGAGCUUGCACCUAUAGUUGAUAAUAGAUCUUUGAGCUUAAUAAAGCUUGAAAUGCAGCAAAAUAUCAGCAUUUCAUUCAUGAGAUAUGGUGAUAGAACAGCCGCUUCAAAGUUGGAAAGCAGAGUUAUGUGUAAACAUGGAGAAUUAAGAUUAGUGUGGUUAAUUUUAAAAAAGUCUUUAGGUUUGCUGUUUGGUAUUAUAUAUACAUCUGAAUUUUUUACAGCUUUGUUUGUCUAUGACGGCAUCAUUUACUGUUUCAUACAUUGUUGUAUAGAUUCUUUAGUUUUGUCUCAAUUCUCUUCUAAUAUCAGCAAUCUAUUAUUAUAUGAAAAUAAACAAGAAGAUUGUUUA